AUCAGCCGGUAAUGGCACAGAAUUCCUUUUUAGGAAAAUCUGCAGCCUUACCGGAUUUCUCAAGUUCCGGAGUGGAAAAAGACCACUUACGGGAUUGAAGUAUUUAUGGAGG
rnacentral:ncRNA from 1 species